rnacentral:tRNA from 1 species
GGAGGCUUGCCCGAGCGGUUUAAGGGAUCCGGCUUAUAACCGGGCAUAGGUGGUAACCUAUCGCGGGUUCGAAUCCCGCAGCCUCCG